rnacentral:rRNA from 1 species
GAUGAACGCUGGCGGCAGGCCUAACACAUGCAAGUCGAGCGGAUGAUGGGAGCUUGCUCCUGGAUUCAGCGGCGGACGGGUGAGUAAUGUCUAGGAAUCUGCCUGGUAGUGGGGGACAACGUUUCGAAAGGAACGCUAAUACCGCAUACGUCCUACGGGAGAAAGCAGGGGACCUUCGGGCCUUGCGCUAUCAGAUGAGCCUAGGUCGGAUUAGCUUGUUGGUGAGGUAAUGGCUCACCAAGGCGACGAUCCGUAACUGGUCUGAGAGGAUGAUCAGUCACACUGGAACUGAGACACGGUCCAGACUCCUACGGGAGGCAGCAGUGGGGAAUAUUGGACAAUGGGCGAAAGCCUGAUCCAGCCAUGCCGCGUGUGUGAAGAAGGUCUUCGGAUUGUAAAGCACUUUAAGUUGGGAGGAAGGGUUGUAGAUUAAUACUCUGCAAUUUUGACGUUACCGACAGAAUAAGCACCGGCUAACUCUGUGCCAGCCGCCGCCGUAAGAC